GAUGAACGCUGGCGGCGUGCCUAAUACAUGCAAGUCGAGCGAACGGACGAGAAGCUUGCUUCUCUGAUGUUAGCGGCGGACGGGUGAGUAACACGUGGAUAACCUACCUAUAAGACUGGGAUAACUUCGGGAAACCGGAGCUAAUACCGGAUAAUAUUUUGAACCGCAUGGUUCAAAAGUGAAAGACGGUCUUGCUGUCACUUAUAGAUGGAUCCGCGCUGCAUUAGCUAGUUGGUAAGGUAACGGCUUACCAAGGCAACGAUGCAUAGCCGACCUGAGAGGGUGAUCGGCCACACUGGAACUGAGACACGGUCCAGACUCCUACGGGAGGCAGCAGUAGGGAAUCUUCCGCAAUGGGCGAAAGCCUGACGGAGCAACGCCGCGUGAGUGAUGAAGGUCUUCGGAUCGUAAAACUCUGUUAUUAGGGAAGAACAUAUGUGUAAGUAACUGUGCACAUCUUGACGGUACCUAAUCAGAAAGCCACGGCUAACUACGUGCCAGCAGCCGCGGUAAUACGUAGGUGACAAGCGUUAUCCGGAAUUAUUGGGCGUAAAGCGCGCGUAGGCGGUUUUCUAAGUCUGAUGUGAAAGCCCACGGCUUAACCGUGGAGGGUCAUUGGAAACUGGAAAACUUGAGUGCAGAAGAGGAAAGUGGAAUUCCAUGUGUAGCGGUGAAAUGCGCAGAGAUAUGGAGGAACACCAGUGGCGAAGGCGACUUUCUGGUCUGUAACUGACGCUGAUGUGCGAAAGCGUGGGGAUCAAACAGGAUUAGAUACCCUGGUAGUCCACGCCGUAAACGAUGAGUGCUAAGUGUUAGGGGGUUUCCGCCCCUUAGUGCUGCAGCUAACGCAUUAAGCACUCCGCCUGGGGAGUACGACCGCAAGGUUGAAACUCAAAGGAAUUGACGGGGACCCGCACAAGCGGUGGAGCAUGUGGUUUAAUUCGAAGCAACGCGAAGAACCUUACCAAAUCUUGACAUCCUUUGACGACUCUAGAGAUAGAGCCUUCCCCUUCGGGGGACAAAGUGACAGGUGGUGCAUGGUUGUCGUCAGCUCGUGUCGUGAGGUGUUGGGUUAAGUCCCGCAACGAGCGCAACCCUUAAGCUUAGUUGCCAUCAUUAAGUUGGGCACUCUAAGUUGACUGCCGGUGACAAACCGGAGGAAGGUGGGGAUGACGUCAAAUCAUCAUGCCCCUUAUGAUUUGGGCUACACACGUGCUGCAAUGGACAAUACAAAGGGCAGCGAAACCGCGAGGUCAAGCAAAUCCCAUAAAGUUGUUCUCAGUUCGGAUUGUAGUCUGCAACUCGACUACAUGAAGCUGGAAUCGCUAGUAAUCGUAGAUCAGCAUGCUACGGUGAAUACGUUCCCGGGUCU
rnacentral:rRNA from 1 species